GCGGUGGUGGUGGAACUGGUAGACACGCAAGUUUGAGGGGCUUGUGGCCGCAAGGUCGUAGGGGUUCAAGUCCCCUCUACCGCA
rnacentral:tRNA from 1 species